GUCCGUAUCACGCCGAAACACCGGUUUCCGGAGGAUCAUCGCAGUUAAGCAACGUCGAGCCUGGUCAGUACCGAAAUGGAUGACCUCUUGCGAAUACCAAGUGCGGUC